GUUUACAUCUUUACAUCUUGUUUUGUUUCAAAAAGGAGUUAACGUUCUGUCCCUGAAUAAACACGAGGCAGCAAGACUUCAUCGCAGAUAGAGAUAAGACUAAAACAUGAUUCUCCUAAACUUUAACCCUUGAGUUAGCUCACUUAAGCUUGUAAAUCUCUGCAAAGAUUUUGUUCCCUGGAUCCUCCAUGGUUACCAGGUGGUGGAUACACAUUAUACAGCAGAAGAAACUGGAAUCGCUUCUAUGGGUCUUUUUUUAGAGCAAGGAAGCAUUUCCCAGAAAACCCCAGCAGAUGUCCCCUCCCUUGGCCUUGGACAGGAGUGGUCACAUGAUAUUUUCUAAGCCAAUGCCUGGGCAAGGUGGUUUGGAACAGGGCAGGGAUGGAGGGAAGGUCCUUGUAUCUUAGACAUCAAAAUCCCAGGAAAAUAAUUAGGAGGUGUUUGGGAUUCUGCUGAAAACUCUGACAACAGACCAGAAAUAUCUCCAAGAGCACCAGCAACCCCAGCUAUCUAGACCCGAAGUGGAUAUACUCAGAGGCAUCCUGGCCUACCCCACCCCUGACCCCAGAGAAGAUGCUGCUGCCCUCAGAAGACGCCAGAGCCAGCCACACUGCAAGUCUGGGAGGAUCGAGCAAGGCAGGCUGCUCAGUGAAGGCUUCCUCUCCUGUAGCAGGAAGAGCAUCGUUAAGAACAAGUAUGCAGGGCUGGACUACUCUGGAGAUGUAAUGACCAGAGCUGAGACCCCCGAGACCAGAGUGACUAUGAAGGACUGUCGUCACCUUGUUCCUGAACAUCUAAUGCCUCUCAGCUCCAGGAGGCCACUGAGGAGAAACCGAAGGCUAGUUUUCCUUGGAAGCCAGCAGCCUGUCCACCUGUUCCACUUCCCUGCCUCUUGCAGCCUCCGCUCAAACACUACCAUGGUUUGGGAGCACGGAAAAACUAGAAAAUACAGAAAUAUAUCAAGAAGAAAGAAAUUUAAAAAUCAACCUGAAUCCCACCAACCAGAGACAGCUAUUAAUGAUUGUGGUAUAUUUAUUGCCCAUGGCAUGGAUGGCACCGACAAUCGAGGCAGGCAGUGCUGGUGGAUACACCUAGGAGGUCCUGUUGGAAGAGGACCAUUCGUGUGCAGAAACGAGGAAAUAGACAUGUAUGAGCUGGAAGAAAAUCUUAUCCGUCUGAUUCAAUUCCCUCAUUUCACAGAAUGGAUGCAGAAUUUUUCAUCUAUGCUGCACCGUGAAAAAUGGAUGUGUUUGGCGCAGAAGUCAUUUGAACGUGAAACCCAGCCUCAGUGGAAAGACAACCUUCAGAAAAACUUUCCAAGUAACUUUUCAUUCGCACUUGCUUCCACCGGGGAAGGUCAGGCUCUUGUGAAAGAUGGAAAUUUCCUGCACAAACCUAGAUGCUGA
ensembl:lncRNA